GAUGAACGCUGGCGGCGUGCUUAACACAUGCAAGUCGAACGGAAAGGCCCAAGCUUGCUUGGGUACUCGAGUGGCGAACGGGUGAGUAACACGUGGGUGAUCUGCCCUGCACUUCGGGAUAAGCCUGGGAAACUGGGUCUAAUACCGGAUAGGACCACAUUUUGGAUGGUGUGGUGGAAAGUUUUUCGGUGUGGGAUGAGCUCGCGGCCUAUCAGCUUGUUGGUGGGGUAAUGGCCUACCAAGGCGUCGACGGGUAGCCGGCCUGAGAGGGUGUACGGCCACAUUGGGACUGAGAUACGGCCCAGACUCCUACGGGAGGCAGCAGUGGGUAAUAUUGCACAAUGGGCGCAAGCCUGAUGCAGCGACGCCGCGUGGGGGAUGACGGCCUUCGGGUUGUAAACUCCUUUCGCUAGGGACGAAGCGCAAGUGACGGUACCUGGAGAAGAAGCACCGGCUAACUACGUG
rnacentral:rRNA from 1 species